rnacentral:rRNA from 6 species
GGUUAAGUUAGAAAGGGCGCACGGUGGAUGCCUUGACACUAGGAGUCGAUGAAGGACGGGACUAACGCCGAUAUGCUUCGGGGAGCUGUAAGUAAGCUUUGAUCCGAAGAUUUCCGAAUGGGGAAACCCACCAUACGUAAUGGUAUGGUAUCCUUAUCUGAAUACAUAGGGUAAGGAAGACAGACCCAGGGAACUGAAACAUCUAAGUACCUGGAGGAAGAGAAAGCAAAUGCGAUUUCCUGAGUAGCGGCGAGCGAAACGGAACAUAGCCCAAACCAAGAGGCUUGCCUCUUGGGGUUGUAGGACAUUCUAUACGGAGUUACAAAGGAACGAGGUAGACGAAGCGACCUGGAAAGGUCCGUCGUAGAGGGUAACAACCCCGUAGUCGAAACUUCGUUCUCUCUUGAAUGUAUCCUGAGUACGGCGGAACACGUGAAAUUCCGUCGGAAUCUGGGAGGACCAUCUCCCAAGGCUAAAUACUCCCUAGUGAUCGAUAGUGAACCAGUACCGUGAGGGAAAGGUGAAAAGCACCCCGGAAGGGGAGUGAAAGAGAUCCUGAAACCGUGUGCCUACAAAUAGUCAGAGCCCGUUAACGGGUGAUGGCGUGCCUUUUGUAGAAUGAACCGGCGAGUUACGAUCCCGUGCGAGGUUAAGCUGAAGAGGCGGAGCCGCAGCGAAAGCGAGUCUGAAUAGGGCGUUUAGUACGUGGUCGUAGACCCGAAACCAGGUGAUCUACCCAUGUCCAGGGUGAAGUUCAGGUAACACUGAAUGGAGGCCCGAACCCACGCACGUUGAAAAGUGCGGGGAUGAGGUGUGGGUAGCGGAGAAAUUCCAAUCGAACCUGGAGAUAGCUGGUUCUCCCCGAAAUAGCUUUAGGGCUAGCCUUAAGUGUAAGAGUCUUGGAGGUAGAGCACUGAUUGGACUAGGGGUCCUCAUCGGAUUACCGAAUUCAGUCAAACUCCGAAUGCCAAUGACUUAUCCUUAGGAGUCAGACUGCGAGUGAUAAGAUCCGUAGUCAAAAGGGAAACAGCCCAGACCGCCAGCUAAGGUCCCAAAGUGUGUAUUAAGUGGAAAAGGAUGUGGAGUUGCUUAGACAACUAGGAUGUUGGCUUAGAAGCAGCCACCAUUUAAAGAGUGCGUAAUAGCUCACUAGUCGAGUGACUCUGCGCCGAAAAUGUACCGGGGCUAAAUACACCACCGAAGCUGCGGAUUGAUACCAAUGGUAUCAGUGGUAGGGGAGCGUUCUAAGGACAGUGAAGUCAGACCGGAAGGACUGGUGGAGUGCUUAGAAGUGAGAAUGCCGGUAUGAGUAGCGAAAGACGGGUGAGAAUCCCGUCCACCGAAUGCCUAAGGUUUCCUGAGGAAGGCUCGUCCGCUCAGGGUUAGUCAGGACCUAAGCCGAGGCCGACAGGCGUAGGCGAUGGACAACAGGUUGAUAUUCCUGUACCACCUCUUUAUCGUUUGAGCAAUGGAGGGACGCAGAAGGAUAGAAGAAGCGUGCGAUUGGUUGUGCACGUCCAAGCAGUUAGGCUGAUAAGUAGGCAAAUCCGCUUAUCGUAAAGGCUGAGCUGUGAUGGGGAAGCUCCUUAUGGAGCGAAGUCUUUGAUUCCCCGCUGCCAAGAAAAGCUUCUAGCGAGAUAAAAGGUGCCUGUACCGCAAACCGACACAGGUAGGCGAGGAGAGAAUCCUAAGGUGUGCGAGAGAACUCUGGUUAAGGAACUCGGCAAAAUGACCCCGUAACUUCGGGAGAAGGGGUGCUUUCUUAACGGAAAGCCGCAGUGAAUAGGCCCAAGCGACUGUUUAGCAAAAACACAGCUCUCUGCGAAGCCGUAAGGCGAAGUAUAGGGGGUGACACCUGCCCGGUGCUGGAAGGUUAAGGAGAGGGGUUAGCGUAAGCGAAGCUCUGAACUGAAGCCCCAGUAAACGGCGGCCGUAACUAUAACGGUCCUAAGGUAGCGAAAUUCCUUGUCGGGUAAGUUCCGACCCGCACGAAAGGUGUAACGAUUUGGGCACUGUCUCAACCAGAGACUCGGUGAAAUUAUAGUACCUGUGAAGAUGCAGGUUACCCGCGACAGGACGGAAAGACCCCGUGGAGCUUUACUGUAGCCUGAUAUUGAAUUUUGGUACAGUUUGUACAGGAUAGGCGGGAGCCUUUGAAACCGGAGCGCUAGCUUCGGUGGAGGCGCUGGUGGGAUACCGCCCUGACUGUAUUGAAAUUCUAACCUACGGGUCUUAUCGACCCGGGAGACAGUGUCAGGUGGGCAGUUUGACUGGGGCGGUCGCCUCCUAAAGUGUAACGGAGGCGCCCAAAGGUUCCCUCAGAAUGGUUGGAAAUCAUUCGUAGAGUGCAAAGGCAUAAGGGAGCUUGACUGCGAGACCUACAAGUCGAGCAGGGACGAAAGUCGGGCUUAGUGAUCCGGUGGUUCCGCAUGGAAGGGCCAUCGCUCAACGGAUAAAAGCUACCCCGGGGAUAACAGGCUUAUCUCCCCCAAGAGUCCACAUCGACGGGGAGGUUUGGCACCUCGAUGUCGGCUCAUCGCAUCCUGGGGCUGUAGUCGGUCCCAAGGGUUGGGCUGUUCGCCCAUUAAAGCGGUACGCGAGCUGGGUUCAGAACGUCGUGAGACAGUUCGGUCCCUAUCCGUCGUGGGCGUAGGAAAUUUGAGAGGAGCUGUCCUUAGUACGAGAGGACCGGGAUGGACGCACCGCUGGUGUACCAGUUGUUCUGCCAAGGGCAUAGCUGGGUAGCUAUGUGCGGAAGGGAUAAGUGCUGAAAGCAUCUAAGCAUGAAGCCCCCCUCAAGAUGAGAUUUCCCAUAGCGUAAGCUAGUAAGAUCCCUGAAAGAUGAUCAGGUUGAUAGGUUCGAGGUGGAAGCAUGGUGACAUGUGGAGCUGACGAAUACUAAUAGAUCGAGGACUUAACCAU